GGAAGGGGUCUGAAUACUUUCUGAAUUCACUAUACAUUACAUAGCUAUACAGAAAGCCCUUAAAGGGAACUACCUCCUAGAACCAACUUAUCUGGUUAUAAACGUUCUAUGUGGCAUCGAUAUGAGUCAGUAACAUUAAUUUUAGUGUCAGAAUUGACUACAAAGUGUAAAUAGGAUAAUUUUUUUCAUAAACUCAGUCUCGUCCCAAAACGAGAUUUGGAAGUGAGUGCUUCAUAAGGAGUAAGUAUUUGGACAGCCAGGGCUCUGAGCUCAUAGGAAAUAUUGUGGGUUCAUUUUAGAGAGGCCAUCCUUACUGACAUAAAUGUGAAUUUAUGUAAGUAAAACUGCAAACCAUGGAGAAAAUAAUCCAAUAGAAUAAUCCUCUAAAUAAACCAAAGCAAUAUCACAAAUGAAAGGGAUGUGCUGAUUGACAUAAUUUUAGGGUGGAGUUGAUUAACCCCCAUCUCUUUGUUCAGUCACAUGGGCAGGCAAACAACCAUGAAGCUGCUACUGGACAGGGAAGCAGACCCCAAUGCCUCCAGUGUGCCCAUGCCUGUCUUCUUCCUGGUAUGAAGGCAGGCCACAUCCAGGCUGUCAGGCGUCUGCUGGAGUGUGGAGCACGUGCCUGCCUUCAGAGCAAAAGGGAUUAUACCCUCUGCACUUCGCUGCAGCUCUCCCCAGAGCAGAGGGCCCAAAGAUCACAGAGCUGCAGGCUGCACACCGUGGGAGGGGGUUUGGAAUAAACUGAGCGGUUUUGAACCAUAAUGUUUUGUUCUCCAACAAAGAGUUAAUUUCCUGUAACAAAGGCGUUCUAAGCUUGCAACGAUUAUGGCAAGGAGGGGAGCUGCCAAAUUCAGCUGGAUGGGAGGAAGGAAGGAAGGGAGCGCAUCCUCGAGAGGAGCUGGAACACAUUGGAAGGGAGGAAGGGAGGGAGCACAUCCUCGAGAGGAGCUGGAACACAUUGGAAGGGAGGAA